rnacentral:rRNA from 1 species
AUCUUUUCUUGUUAGUUUUUGAAGUAUGGCCUGCCCACUGACGUUGGUUGAAGGGCCGCGGUAUUUUGACCGUGCAAAGGUAGCGUAAUCAUUAGUUCUUUAAUUGUGAUCUGGUAUGAAUGGCUUGACGAGGCAUGGGCUGUCUUGGAUGUGAAUUUAUUUAUUGAAUUUGGUUUUUGAGUUAAAAUUCUUAGAUGUUUUUAUGGGACGAGAAGACCCUAUAGAGUUUGACAUUAGGUUUACUCUUGUUUGAUGUUUGUUUUGUAUUGUUUUGUAUUCUUAUUGUUUUGUUGGGGUGAUGGGAGGAAUAUUUUUAACUCCUCUUUUUGUUUGGUAUAUUUAUUUAUAUUUAUUUUG